AGAAACUUAGGAUCACCUUUAAACCGAAGGCCUUCAAAGCCUUAAACAAGAGUUAAACCCUCUUAGUUUCUG
rnacentral:tRNA from 1 species